GCAGUCGUGGCCGAGUGGUUAAGGCGAUGGACUCGAAAUCAUUGGGGUCUCCCCGCACAGGUUCGAAUCCUGUCGACUGCG